CAGGCGCUGUGGAGAGGACACCUACAUUUAUGGCUUACGCAUCUGGAAAUAAGAAUAUAGGAAGACAAAGGGAAUCCUGACGGUCUCUACAGUAGUCCCAUUAAACAGCUGGAAGUCUCAAGGAACUGGCUUUCUGCGCCUGGGCAAGGGUGAGAAACCACAGGGAGCCAGCUCCUCUCCACAGCUGAUGAAUUCCAACCAGUUCUGGACUGAGUGCAACACAAAAUAGCAAGUAGCUCUUUCUGAAGCACAAAGAGAUUUUAGGUCACAACAAGGAAUAGCAAAUAAACCUAUAAAACAUGCACCAGAAAAAUUAGCAUGAAUGUGUUCAUAAGAAUCCUUAAUGCCAUUCAUUAUUUGUUUGAUAUUGAACUUUGUUUUUGAUGCCUUGAAAGAGACUUUCGGUUUUAGAAGUAAUAAUUUCUAGUACUUAUUUUUAUGCACUAGGAUAAUUACUUUAUACAUAUUGUAUUAGUUCAUCCUUAUAUAUUUUUUGGAGAUGGGAAAAGGAAGUUUUCGUUUUUUAAAUUGUGGUAAAAUGGUCAUUGAC